CUACGGGUCGCUGCAGGCGCGAAACCUUUACAAUGCACGAAAGUGUGAUAAGGGAAUUCCGAGUGCUUAUGCUAUGCAUAGGCUUUUGCCAAGAGUAAAAAUCUUGGCGAAUAAGUGGUGGGAAAGACUGGUGCCAGCCGCCGCGGUAACCCCAGCGCCACAAGUGGGGGCCGAUUUUAUUUGGCCUAAAGCGUCCGUAGCCGGUCUAGUAAAUCUUUUGUGAAAUCGUUCGGCCUAACCGAACGGCGUGCAGAGGAGACUGCUAGACUAGGAACCGGGAGGAGUCAGAGGUAUGCGAGGGGGAGCGGUAAAAUGCUAUAAUCCCUGGCAGACCACCUGUGGCGAAGGCGUCUGACUAGAACGGAUUCGACGGUGAGGGACGAAAGCCAGGGGAGCGAACCGGAUUAGAUACCCCAGUAGUC
rnacentral:rRNA from 1 species